ACGAACGCUGGCGGCAUGCCUAACCCAUGCAAGUCGAACGAGACCUUCGGGUCUAGUGGCGCACGGGUGCGUAACGCGUGGGAACCUGCCCUUAGGUUCGGAAUAACUCCCCGAAAGGGGUGCUAAUACCGGAUAAUGUCUUCGGACCAAAGAUUUAUCGCCUUUGGAUGGGCCCGCGUUGGAUUAGCUAGUUGGUAGGGUAAAAGCCUACCAAGGCGACGAUCCAUAGCUGGUCUGAGAGGAUGAUCAGCCACACUGGGACUGAGACACGGCCCAGACUCCUAUGGGAGGCAGCAGUGGGGAAUAUUGGACAAUGGGCGAAAGCCUGAUCCAGCAAUGCCGCGUGAGUGAUGAAGGCCUUAGGGUUGUAAAGCUCUUUUACCCGGGAUGAUAAUGACAGUACCGGGAGAAUAAGCUCCGGCUAACUCCGUG
rnacentral:rRNA from 1 species